UGGUUGCCACCGCUGCAGCCAUAGACGACCGUCCUAGCUGUUUCCGUUACCCAAGAGGAAAUGGGAUCGGAGUUCAGUUGCCGCCAAGGAACAAAGGGAUUCCUCUUGAGAUCGGCAAAGGAAGGGUACUGAUUGAAGGGGACAGAGUGGCACUAUUAGGCUAUGGAACUGCAGUUCAAAGCUGCUUAGCAGCUGCCUCGUUAUUGGAAUCCCACGGCUUAAAGCCAACUGUCGCGGACGCACGAUUUUGUAAACCAUUGGAUCACUCCCUAAUCCGGGGACUGGCAAAAUCGCAUGCAGUUCUGAUCACAGUCGAAGAAGGGUCGAUCGGGGGCUUUGGUUCUCAUGUGGCACAGUUCCUAGCUCUUGAUGGUCUUCUUGAUGGCAAAGUAAAGUGGAGACCGGUGGUUCUUCCAGAUCAAUACAUCGACCAUGGCUCGCUGGCCGACCAGUUGGCCGAAGCUGGUCUGACCCCAUCGCACAUCGCUGCAACGGUGUUCAAUGUGGUUGGACAAAAAAGAGAGGCUCUUGAGAUCAUGUCCUCAAGAAACUGAAGAAAUUCUUCAGCUUAAAUUUCAUUUUAUGUACAGAAAUUUCCCUUUCCCUUGGCAUUUCAUUUCAGAUGAAUGAUAGCUGGUUUA